rnacentral:rRNA from 1 species
UCAAGUUAUUAAGGGUGCAGGGCGGAUGCCUUGGCACUAGGAGCCGAUGAAGGACGUGAUAAGCUGCGAUAAGCUUCGGGGAGUUGCACGUAAACUUUGAUCCGAAGAUUUCCGAAUGAGGAAACUCACUUAGAGUAAUGUCUAAGUAUCAUUAAGUGAAUACAUAGCUUAAUGAGGGGAACUCAGGGAACUGAAACAUCUAAGUACCUGAAGGAAGAGAAAGAAAUUCGAUUCCGUAAGUAGCGGCGAGCGAACGCGGAUUAGCCCAAACCAAUAAAGUUUUCUUUAUUGGGGUUGCGGACAUAUCAUAACGAAGAGGUAUCGUAAUUGAAGAGGUUUGGAAAGACCCACCACAGAAGGUAAUAGUCCUGUAUGUUAAACGAGAAGACUUUAGAUAUGAUCCAGAGUACCACGGGACACGUGAAACCCUGUGGGAAGCAGGAGGGACCACCCUCCAAGGCUAAAUACUACCUAGUGACCGAUAGCGUAUAGUACCGUGAGGGAAAGGUGAAAAGAACCCCGGGAGGGGAGUGAAAUAGAACCUGAAACCCUGCACUUACAAGCUGUGGAAGCACAUUUCUUGUGUGACCGCGUACUUUUUGUAGAACGGGCCAACGAGUUACGUUAAGUAGCAAGGUUAAGCACUUAAGGUGUGGAGCCGUAGCGAAAGCGAGUUUUAACUGAGCGUUCAGUUACUUGACGUAGACCCGAAACCGGGCGACCUACCCAUGAGCAGGAUGAAGCGAAAGUAAAAUUUCGUGGAGGUCCGAACCCACGAGCGUUGAAAAGCUCGGGGAUGACUUGUGGGUAGCGGUGAAAUUCCAAUCGAGCCCGGAGAUAGCUGGUUCUCCCCGAAAUAGCUUUAGGGCUAGCCUCAAGGUGAGAGAUACGGAGGUAGAGCACUGAAUGUCCUAGGGGGUAUUGCACCUACCGAAGACUAUCAAACUCCGAAUGCCGUCAUCUUAUACUUGGGAGUCAGACUGUGGGUGAUAAGAUUCAUAGUCGAAAGGGCAACAGCCCAGAUCGUCAGCUAAGGUCCCUAAAUGUAAGUUAAGUGGUAAAGGAUGUGGGAUUGCACAGACAACCAGGAUGUUGGCUUAGAAGCAGCCACUCAUUCAAAGAGUGCGUAAUAGCUCACUGGUCGAGUGAUCCUGCGCCGAAGAUUUCCGGGGCUAAAACUUACUACCGAAGCUACGGCAUCAGUAAUGAUGGGUAGGGGAGCUUCCCAUACGGGUUGAAGCAUGACCGUAAGGACAUGUGGACAGUAUGGGAGUGAGAAUGUUGGCAUGAGUAGCGAGAUGUGGGUGAGAAUCCCACAGGCCGUAAACCCAAGGUUUCCAGGGGAAGGUUCGUCCGCCCUGGGUUAGUCGGGACCUAAGCUGAGGCCGAAAGGCGUAGGUGAUGGACAACAGGUUGAUAUUCCUGUACUACCGAUAACCNUUUGAGAGAAGGGAUGACACAGUAGGAUAAGCUAAGCACACUGUUGGUUAUGUGUGCCCAAGCAUUGAGGCAGUCAAAGUAGGCAAAUCCGCUUUGAUAAUGCUGGGAUGUGAUGGGGAGCGAAAUUUAGUAGCGAAGUAGCUGAUUUCACACUGUCAAGAAAAGUCUCUAUCGAGGUUAAAGGUACCCGUACCGCAAACCGACACAGGUGGGUGAGGAGAGUAUCCUAAGGCCAGCGAGAGAACUGUUGUUAAGGAACUCGGCAAAAUGACCCCGUAACUUAGGGAUAAGGGGUGCCACCAUCAGGUGGCCGCAGAGAAUAGGCCCAAGCGACUGUUUACCAAAAACAUAGGUUUCUGCUAAGUCGCAAGACGAUGUAUAGGAGCUGACGCCUGCCCGGUGCUGGAAGGUUAAGGGGAUCUGUUAGAGCAAUCGAAGCAGUGAACUUAAGCCCCAGUAAACGGCGGCCGUAACUAUAACGGUCCUAAGGUAGCGAAAUUCCUUGUCGGGUAAGUUCCGACCCGCACGAAAGGCGUAACGAUUUGGGCACUGUCUCAACAACAGACUCGGUGAAAUUGUAAUUCCGGUGAAGAUGCCGGAUACCUGCGACAGGACGGAAAGACCCCAUGGAGCUUUACUGUAGCUUGACAUUGGGUCUUGGUACUACAUGUACAGGAUAGGUGGGAGGCUUUGAAACCAGGACGCCAGUUUUGGCGGAGCCAUCCUUGGGAUACCACCCUUGUAGUACUGGGACUCUAACCAUAGGCCAUGAAUCUGGUCUUGGGACACUGUCAGGUGGGCAGUUUGACUGGGGCGGUCGCCUCCCAAAAGGUAACGGAGGCGCUCAAAGGUUCUCUCAGUACGGUCGGAAAUCGUACGUAGAGUGUAAAGGCAAAAGAGAGCUUGAUUGCAAGACAUACAGGUCGAGCAAGGAUGAAAAUCGGACUUAGUGAUCCGGUGGUUCUGCGUGGAAGGGCCAUCGCUCAACGGAUAAAAGCUACCCUGGGGAUAACAGGCUUAUCUCCCCCAAGAGUCCACAUCGACGGGGAGGUUUGGCACCUCGAUGUCGGCUCAUCACAUCCUGGGGCUGUAGUAGGUCCCAAGGGUUGGGCUGUUCGCCCAUUAAAGUGGUACGCGAGCUGGGUUCAGAACGUCGUGAGACAGUUCGGUCCCUAUCCGUCGCAGGCGUAGGAAAUUUGAGAAGACCUGUCCUUAGUACGAGAGGACCGGGAUGGACGUACCUCUGGUGUACCAGUUGUUCUGCCAAGGGCAUGGCUGGGUAGCUAUGUACGGAAUGGAUAAGCGCUGAAAGCAUCUAAGCGCGAAGCCAACUUCAAGAUAAGAUUUCCCACCGCAAGGGUAAGACCCCAGAAAGACUAUCUGGUUGAUAGGUCGAAGGUGUAAGUGCAGCAAUGUAUUUAGCUUAUCGAUACUAAUAGGUCGAGGACUUGACCAA